AUUAGAAUCUUUGAUGUGUCGCAGAUGCCGCACUAACUAGUCCGUGCGCCUAUAUCAUAUUUAUUGUUGCAUGAUAUAUAUGUUUAAAUGGCAAAAUUUUAUAUUGUCUAUCUAGGAAAUCAUUUUAAAUAUACGUAAAACCCCAUGUUUUAUACUAUUUUUUAUUUUUCUUUCGAAAAUGUCAAUUUUUAGAAAGAAAAUAAUAUCACAAGAAAAUAAUAUCAAAAAAUUGACCGCGGACUAAAAUCCAAGCAUCUUACAAAAUAUUUUAAACACUUCCAGCACUCACAGACUUGUCACCUCUUUUUAGCCAGUCUAUUAAACAAAGAUAAAACACCUGCGUUCUGACAAUUCCUACUUUAGGCUGUGCAAGUGAUUGUGUAUCUCUCUCUAUCCCACUGAAUUUAAGAAUUACGGGGCCGUACCCAAAUAAAUUUUUGGACCGUUUUUGUAUUAUUUUCGUCGUGUUUUUAAAGAGAUCUUUACGGAUGGGUCUAUCGCCUUUAAAAUACUUGUUGGAUGGGUCUAUCACCUUUAAUAGUUGGGAGGGGGGCCAUGUGAGGUUAUUAUUUGAUGUGUUUUGCCGGUUAUGCUUUUUACACGUUUAUGAAAGUAAAGAAUUUAGAAUUUGGCCUGUAUUCCUGUAAAUUUUUUGCAGUUUUUACUGUGAGGAACAGUGUUUUUUUAUUUGUGUUUGUGGAUUUGUUUUGGUAUUAUACCUAAAGACCUUAAAAUGUUUCGACCCUGGAAAAAUAGGCAGGAAAAUUUGGCAAAUGAAGAGGAAAGUAUUUGUGCGGGCUUAUGGAGACCGUGGGUGUACAAGAAAGACAAUAACAUUUGUGAUAAAAACAAUAAGAGUGAUCUGGGCAGUGAUUUAGACUUACAUAGUUCUGAUAGUUCAUUUUCUAGUAUUGAGGAAGCAAAAAGAAGCAAGGGAAGUAGAAGCUACAGAGGAAAUCAAGCAGUUUUAAAAGAACAAAUUUAUCUAAAUAUCUAUAACAAUCUAAGGAAUGAUACUCAGUUCACAAAUGAUUGUAGUGCUUUGCAAAAAAUAGCGUUUUUAACAGGAGUUCCCUAUAGUACAAUAUGCCUGUAAAAAAAAGGAUUAAAGACAGAAUAAAAAGAAAAGAUGCAGGACAAUCAAAGGGACUUGACAUGGAUAUUGCCAAAUUGCUAAGGAAAGGUGUGUAUUCUAAAUACAAAAACAAUGAGGUUCUGACCAUAGAGACACCUUAUUGGCAAGGGACAAGCAUUUCUCAGUCUCAACCUUGCGGAGAUACCUGAUAAAACUUGGAUUUAAGCUUAAGAUGGUUAACAAAAGAGCUGCUGUAAUGGAAUUGUCAGGUGGUGUAUAGAAUAUUUGAGGAAAAUUAAAAAAAUUUGGGAGGAGGAAGAAAGAUCCAUAUAUUAUUUAGCUGAAACAUGAUAUGAUACAUUUAUGAUUGAUGUAUGAUUUCCAUUCUCUGGGAAAAAAGUCCCUUUUUUGCCAUACUUACUGCCCCUGUUGUCCUUCAGUGAUACAAUAAACACUGCUUCUUCCACCAUUCUCUGGGAAAAACCCUUUUUUGCUAUGCUUACUACCUCUGUUGUCCUUCAGCAACACAAUGAAGACUGCUUCUUCCUCUAUUCUCUGGAAAAAAGUCCCUUUUUUUCCAUAGUAAGAAAAUCCUAUUUUUAUUAAUUAAACAAGUUUAAAGUUUUGUUUUUUUCAGCUUACUGCUCCUGUUUGUCCUUCAGUGACACAAUAAAGUAUAUAUAAUGUAAUGCUUUAGAAUCCAUAUGCUGAUGUGCGAGAUGAAGUUGGAAUCCAUGGUGGCAACAGAGAAACUGUUUCCUUCCUUAAUGGAAGAAACUGCUAAAGAACAAUGGCAAAAAAACAGAAUUUACAAAUUUUGUAUUAACUUUUUGGGCCAGAUUCAAAAGAGUGGUUAAAUUUAUAAAAGUAUUUAGUAUCCUCACUGUAGUUUUAGGAUCCAGUAUACUUAAAAUGUAGUGUUUUGUAUAAGAUUUUUAGUUUUUAGUAUAAGCAUUUAUUUUUGUUAAUUUUUAUCUAAUCUCUCCUAAUAUGCAUAAUAACUAAAUACGAGGCAAACAAAUUA
rnacentral:lncRNA from 1 species